rnacentral:rRNA from 1 species
GGGGGAUAUUGCGCAAUGGGGGCAACCCUGACGCAGCAACGCCGCGUGAAGGAUGAAGGUUUUCGGAUUGUAAACUUCUUUUAUUAAGGACGAAACUUGACGGUACUUAAUGAAUAAGCUCCGGCUAACUACGUGCCAGCAGCCGCGGUAAUACGUAGGGAGCAAGCGUUGUCCGGAUUUACUGGGUGUAAAGGGUGCGUAGGCGGCUUUGCAAGUCAGAUGUGAAAUCUAUGGGCUCAACCCAUAAACUGCAUUUGAAACUGUAGAGCUUGAGUGAAGUAGAGGCAGGCGGAAUUCCCCGUGUAGCGGUGAAAUGCGUAGAGAUGGGGAGGAACACCAGUGGUGAAGGCGGCCUGCUGGGCUUUAACUGACGCUGAGGCACGAAAGCGUGGGUAGCAAACAGGAUUAGAUACCCUGGUAGUCCACGCUGUAAACGAUGAUUACUAGGUGUGGGGGGUCUGACCCCUUCCGUGCCGGAGUUAACACAAUAAGUAAUCCACCUGGGGAGUACGGCCGCAAGGUUGAAGCUCAAAGGAAUUGACGGGGGCCCGCACAAGCAGUGGAGUAUGUGGUUUAAUUCGAAGCAACGCGAAGAACCUUACCAGGUCUUGACAUCCAACUAACGAAGUAGAGAUACAUUAGGUGCCCUUCGGGGAAAGUUGAGACAGGUGGUGCAUGGUUGUCGUCAGCUCGUGUCGUGAGAUGUUGGGUUAAGUCCCGCAACGAGCGCAACCCUUGCUAUUAGUUGCUACGCAAGAGCACUCUAAUAGGACUGCCGUUGACAAAACGGAGGAAGGUGGGGACGACGUCAAAUCAUCAUGCCCCUUAUGACCUGGGCUACACACGUACUACAAUGGAUGUUAACAGAGGGAAGCAAGACAGCGAUGUGGAGCAAACCCCUAAAAACAUUCUCAGUUCAGAUUGCAGGCUGCAACCCGCCUGCAUGAAGAUGGAAUUGCUAGUAAUCGCGGAUCAGCAUGCCGCGGUGAAUACGUUCCCG